rnacentral:rRNA from 1 species
CAGCAGCCGCGGGAAUACGAAGGGUGCAAGCGUUAAUCGGAAUUACUGGGCGUAAAGCGUGCGUAGGUGGUGGUUUAAGUCCGUUGUGAAAGCCCUGGGCUCAACCUGGGAAUUGCAGUGGAUACUGGGUCACUAGAGUGUGGUAGAGGAUAGUGGAAUUUCCGGUGUAGCAGUGAAAUGCGUAGAUAUGCGGAGGAACACCGAUGGCGAAGGCAGCCCCCUGGGCCAACACUGACGCUCAUGCACGAAAGCGUGGGGAGCAAACAGGAUUAGAUACCCGAGUAGUCCCUGUCUCUUAUAC